rnacentral:rRNA from 1 species
CACGGGGGGAGCAAGCGUUGUUCGGAAUCACUGGGCGUAAAGGGCGUGUAGGCGGUCAAGUAAGCGGAAUGUGAAAGCCCCCGGCUUACCCGGGGAUCUGCAUCCCAAACUGCUUGGCUUGAGUACGGGAGAGGAUGGAGGAAUUCCUGGUGUAGCGGUGAAAUGCGUAGAUAUCAGGAGGAACACCGGUGGCGAAGGCGUCCAUCUGGCCCGAUACUGACGCUGAGGCGCGAAAGCUAGGGGAGCGAACGGG